rnacentral:misc_RNA from 1 species
AAGACUAUAGACCUGCGGAGUACCUGCGGAGGGAUCAUUAACGAAUAACUAUGGUGUUGGUUGUCGCUGGCUCCUAGGAGCAUUGUGCACGCCCGCCAUUUUUAUCUUUCCACCUGUGCACUUAGUGUAGAUCUGGAUACCACUCGCUUUCCCAAGCGGACUCAGAGAUUGCUGUGUCGCAAGACCCGGCUCUCUUUGAAUUUCCAGGUCUAUGUCUUUUUUACACACCCCAAUUGAAUG